CUGCAGUUGUUUGUAUCUGAGUUUGUUACGAAGUUAUUCUAGUUUCGUCUCAGUUCAAUAUUUCGAUUUCUUUCGUUAGUGUAGAAAUGAUAACUAUAAUUCCAGAAAGAAUGAUUGCCUGAACUGAGAUUUUUCGUUUGGUUUGUUUUGUUUCGUAUUCUGUUCUUUCGUUAGUGUAAAAAUGAUAACUAUAAUCCGAGAAAGAAUGAUUGCCUGAGUUAAGAUUUUUCGUUUGGUUUGUUUUGUUUCAUAUGAACCUUCAAGCUUUAAUUCCAUAGUCUUAGCAGACAGUAAGGAUAACAAUUUUUUACUUGUAAAUAUGUACACCAUUUCCUUGAUGGAACAAUGUGAAAAUUAGCAGAGGAGAAUCAUUUAC
rnacentral:lncRNA from 1 species